rfam:Marinomonas mediterranea MMB-1, complete genome.
GGAGGUAGGCCCUCCGAUCAGGGCGUUCAGGCGCAUUGAUCAAACUACCUGAUGCUGCUGUUGACUAAGGUCUUCGGUAGUGAGCGACUCAGGAAAAGGCGGAAAUACUACCGUCAUGU